rnacentral:rRNA from 1 species
AACGAACGCUGGCGGCGUGGAUAAGACAUGCAAGUCGAACGGGAUUUUUUUCUGUAGCAAUACAGAAAAAAGUCUAGUGGCGAACGGGUGCGUAACACGUGAGCAACCUGCCGUGAAGUGGGGGAUAGCUCGCCGAAAGGCGAAUUAAUACCGCAUGUGGCCAAGGAAGACAUCUUCCUGACGCCAAAGCCGGGGCAACCUGGCGCUUCUCGAGGGGCUCGCGGCCUAUCAGCUUGUUGGUGAGGUAACGGCUCACCAAGGCUAUGACGGGUAGCUGGUCUGAGGGGAAGACCAGCCCCACUGGAACUGAGACACGGUCCAGAAACCUACGGGUGGCAGCAGUCGAGAAUUUUUCACAAUGGGGGAAACCCUGAUGGGGCGACGCCGCGUGGAGGAUGAAGGUUUUCGGAUUGUAAACUCCUGUCAUUAGAGAACAAGGCACACGGUUUAACUGGCCGUGUGUUGAUAGUAUCUGAAGAGGAAGAGACGGCUAACUCUGUGCCAGCCGCCGCCGUAA